rnacentral:rRNA from 1 species
UACGUAGGGUGCGAGCGUUAAUCGGAAUUACUGGGCGUAAAGCGUGCGCAGGCGGUGAGUUAAGUCUGAUGUGAAAGCCCCGGGCUCAACCUGGGAAUGGCAUUGGAAACUGGCUUACUAGAGUGCGGUAGAGGGGUGUGGAAUUCCCGGUGUAGCAGUGAAAUGCGUAGAUAUCGGGAGGAACAUCUGUGGCGAAGGCGACACCCUGGACCAGCACUGACACUGAGGCACGAAAGCGUGGGGAGCAAACAGG